rnacentral:rRNA from 1 species
ACUCGAGUGGCGAACGGGUGAGUAACACGUGGGUGAUCUGCCCUGCACUUCGGGAUAAGCUUGGGAAACUGGGUCUAAUACCGGAUAGGACCAUGCUUUAGUGUGUGUGGUGGAAAGUUUUUCGGUGUAGGAUGAGCCCGCGGCCUAUCAGCUUGUUGGUGGGGUAAUGGCCUACCAAGGCGGCGACGGGUAGCCGGACUGAGAGGUUGGUCGGCCACAUUGGGACUGAGAUACGGCCCAG